rnacentral:ncRNA from 1 species
AGAUAACUCCGAGUCCUCACGGCGAGGAUAGGAGUAACGGCUGUGUGGCACAGCCAUCGGUACACCUGUUCGACCGCGAAAGCGGGAUGUUCCAAUCGAGAGAACAGGUCGUAUCGUAGACCAGCAAAUAUCCCACCCUGCGGUACGGGAAGCCGCGUCCUUCAGGGCGCGGA